AUUGAACGCUGGCGGCAGGCCUAACACAUGCAAGUCGAGCGGAUGAAGGGAGCUUGCUCCUGGAUUCAGCGGCGGACGGGUGAGUAAUGCCUAGGAAUCUGCCUGGUAGUGGGGGAUAACGUCCGGAAACGGGCGCUAAUACCGCAUACGUCCUGAGGGAGCAAGUGGGGGAUCUUCGGACCUCACGCUAUCAGAUGAGCCUAGGUCGGAUUAGCUAGUUGGUGGGGUAAAGGCCUACCAAGGCGACGAUCCGUAACUGGUCUGAGAGGAUGAUCAGUCACACUGGAACUGAGACACGGUCCAGACUACUACGGGAGGCAGCAGUGGGGAAUAUUGGACAAUGGGCGAAAGCCUGAUCCAGCCAUGCCGCGUGUGUGAAGAAGGUCUUCGGAUUGUAAAGCACUUUAAGUUGGGAGGAAGGGCAGUAAGUUAAUACCUUGCUGUUUUGACGUUACCAACAGAAUAAGCACCGGCUAACUUCGUG
rnacentral:rRNA from 1 species